UCCCUCAUAGCUCAGUUGGUAAAUCAUCUGCCUGCAAAGUAGGAGAGCCGGGUUCGAUUCCUGGAUGGGGAA
rnacentral:tRNA from 1 species